CCUAGCUUGCUAGGACCCUGUUAGUGGCGCACGGGUGAGUAACACGUGGGAAUCUACCUCAUAGUAUGGAAUAACAUUCAGAAAUGGAUGCUAAUGCCAUAUAAUACCUCCGGGUCAAAGAUUUAUCGCUAUGAGAUGAGCCCGCGUUAGAUUAGCUAGUUGGUAAGGUAAAAGCUUACCAAGGCUACGAUCUAUAGCUGGUCUGAGAGGAUGACCAGCCACACUGGGACUGAGACACGGCCCAGACUCC
rnacentral:rRNA from 1 species